GUGGUCGGCUCGAAGGAAGCAAUUAAACAUGGGUAGUUUGCUGUAAUGGACAUUGUCAUGCUGCCAUUAAGUGAUCAGCAGGCCGUCCAAUGUGAAGCCAUGAUCCCAGCAGAGCUGAACAUUUCUCUUCCUAAAACCCUCCGCUGCACACAACGCUGGAUUAUUUUUUUUUUCCCCUUUCUCUAAUGGAAUGACAUCAUCAGUUCCGUGUAUCUCUAAGGAUCAGGGAGACGGUACCGAUCCUCAAACACUGACUCUGAGUCACACUGACAUCAUCCAGAGUGCUAACACUCACAUAAUUGGAUUUGAACACUUCAAAGUGGAAUCAAACAUUUUUUUGUAUUGUUGGAGUAUUGUGUAGUUUCCUUUCCUGUUUUGUUCAUACUUCAAUUAUUGACACUAAUGGGCGUGACCUAAACACACACACAUGUAUAUAUACUGUAUAUGUAUAUAUUUAUAUAUAUAUACAUAUAUGUAUAUAUAUAUAAUGGCUGUAGAACAAAUAACAAUGUUUAAUUUGAUGAUAACUCUAGAUUAAUCACAAUUAAUUGUGAUAGUAAUUCAUUUACGAUUUAUUACAAUUUAUGGCUAAAUAUUAGCUAAUGCUGGAGUGGUUGGUGCUCCAGCCGUACAGCAAAAAGGUCACUGGUUCGAGCCGCAGCAGUGUCCAAUGAUUGGAGUUUGAAAGUUAAUUGGUUAAUUGUUGACUGUAAACUGUUAUUUAUUAGUUAUUUAUCUGCAUAUGUGACUCUGUGAAGACUCUGAUUGUGUAUCGUGCCCUGUCCUGAUGACUGGACAGUCAAAUUGAAUGCCCGAUGACUCAUUUUCAAACUUGUCAAACUGAAGACCUGUUUAACUUCACUAAAUUUUCUUUAAUAACUUGGACUCGACCUGAACUUUUGUUCUGUGAUACCUCAAAUCUUGGUGACUCGGUUCAAACUUUUUUCAGACUCUAGAGCUUUUUCACUGAGCGGUGUUUAGACCAGACUGUGGAGACAGAUGAACGGAUAAAUGGUAUUUUAUUGAUUUACAAAUCAGUACAAAUACGGUCUGAUACAUUAGAUACAUUCAGUCUGAAUAGCAGCGUUUACAGUAGUGUGUUUGUUUGGCAGCUGCGUCUCCUUCCAGCCCUCAGUUACUCAUUUGUGGUCAUCUUAUUCAGGGGCGGGGUGGCCACAGGAAGGUCUGAUCCUGACCGAACCGACCGGUUGUUGUCGGCAAGUUUUGUUUUUUUUGUUUUUUGUUUUUGUUUUUUUUUACUCUUGUACAGAGCCGCAGUUUAUCGCAGUAGCCUGUCUCCGCAGGGGUGACAGAGUGAAACGCGGGCGGGACGGCCGGGUGAAUGAUUCACGCGCCGCUCUAUUAGGUCGAUCUCAUACUUUGCAUAUUAAACGGCGGAUACGAGCAGCUCCUACCAAUUGUAGCCGAAUUAAUAAUCAAAUACUCCAAAAAGAAAGAAACUCCAAAAAAGAGAUAUGAUUUGAACUGAAAUCUAAGGGGAAAAAAGAAGUUUAGUGCAGGAUGCAGUACAUUUCCGCUAAUUGAUAGAGUUCGUCCGUGAUGGAGCUAAGGUCAAGGUGGCUACAGUUAGCAUGGUCGAUCAACAUGGCCGCAGCAAGCCCUGUCCACGUGUCCCGAUCGUCCCAGACUUGGCAUGGAAGACGGAGCAGCAAAGAUGACAAGUGUCAAGUCAUGGAGCUGAUCCAGAGGACAAAGCCAUUCAUGAGAGUGAGGAGGAGGAGGAGAUGGAAGACAAGGAGCACCAAAAGAACAGUGGCAGAUACAGGUAGAAAAGGUUUUGAAAGUCCCUGUGGUUAUUACCCCUUACUGAACCCUGAACCAACGUUCAAAAACUGCAGAAAGACUAAGGUGAGUAAAAUAACAAAUAUUAAAAUGUAAUAUGAAUAAAAAAAAAAAAUUAAAACUGUUACUGCUACUAAUGAUUAAAA